rnacentral:rRNA from 1 species
AUUGAACGCUGGCGGCAGGCCUAACACAUGCAAGUCGAGCGGAUGAAGGGAGCUUGCUCCUGGAUUCAGCGGCGGACGGGUGAGUAAUGCCUAGGAAUCUGCCUGGUAGUGGGGGAUAACGUCCGGAAACGGGCGCUAAUACCGCAUACGUCCUGAGGGAGAAAGUGGGGGAUCUUCGGACCUCACGCUAUCAGAUGAGCCUAGGUCGGAUUAGCUAGUUGGUGGGGUAAAGGCCUACCAAGGCGACGAUCCGUAACUGGUCUGAGAGGAUGAUCAGUCACACUGGAACUGAGACACGGGCCAGGCUCCUACGGGAGGCAGCAGUGGGGAAUAUUGGACAAUGGGCGAAAGCCUGAUCCAGCCAUGCCGCGUGUGUGAAGAAGGUCUUCGGAUUGUAAAGCACUUUAAGUUGGGAGGAAGGGCAGUAAGUUAAUACCUUGCUGUUUUGACGUUACCAACAGAAUAAGCACCGGCUAACUUCGU